ACAAGAAAGGUUUGCAGGAUGUCUUUAUAGUAAAGCACACGUGAGAAAGAAAAAACAACACACGAAGCAACACAACUUGUGAAUAACUGCAGAUUCAUCAGUGAUUUUUUACAUUUUGAUUUUAUUUGGUACAUAUGUAUUGAUGAUAUUAAUAUUAAUAUUUUGUCAAUAAAUUUACAAUAUACAGGCAUAGAAAAUGAUAUGAAAGAAUAUAUCUUUUGUAAACUUUCUGUGUGAAAAUGCACAAUUCUUGAUAUUAUUGAAAGAAUUCAUCUUAACUCUGUACAAAAUAUAGCAAUUUACAAACAUAGUCACCUCAUUUCCAGGAAAAGGUUGUCUAAUGAAGAUCAAUAAUAUAAAACUUUCAUCAGUCAUGACUGAAUAUAUUGGAACUGACCCUGAACCCUGUCAAAUUUUGAGCCUACCCACCUACGAGAAAUAAACACAUUUCAGUAUUUCAAAAAAAAUCUACAGCAACAAUUAGGCGAUACUAAAGUCAUGUUUCACCAUCUCAAUAACACAAAGCUAAAACGACAUUUAAACCUAGCUAAUAAAGGUUUUUAGCUGGCAGUGCUGUUAGUAGAAGAGGUUUAGUAACUGUCAGUGCUUUCUUUGCAGCUUCAUAUUUAGAGUGUGGUUUGAUGCAUUCUUAGUAUGUUCCUGUAUUUUGUAGCGAUGAAUCUUGCAGGUCAGGUUUUCAUGAGCUUCCUGUUCCAGCCCCCAAAAGCUUUAAAAGUCACAACUGGUGGGGACUCUUGUUCUUGUUCACACCUCUCUCCUCUCCACAUUGCAGCUGAGCUGAGAACAGUUUGAGCAAUGCAUCCUCAAGGUUACGCGACUGAAGCCGUGCCAUUACAGGGCGUGAAUUAUGGUGGACUCCCUGGUCAGCCUGGAGUGGUCCAGCACACUGCUGUGAACAUCACAAGAGGGCAACGAGUCAUCACAGAGUCCCCCAAAGACCAUAUCAUCUGGUCGCUCUGCAGCUUUGUCUACUCAAAUCCUUUUUGCCUUGGACUUGCAGCUCUCAUUUAUGCCAUCAAGGAGGAAUGCAGGUCCGAGAGCAGUGAGCACGGGGAAUGCAGAGACACAGGAGCAGAGAGCACUACACUGGGACUUUUUGGGAAGAAGACAUGACACAGGAGUCACGGGAGAGCACGGGGAUUAACUGUUAUUGUUUCCUGCACUGUAAAUAAACGCACCGUUGCAGUGAAGAGUCCUGCGUUUUGGGUCCUGUCUUCCCCACACCCCCACUGUCUGCAGGGCAGACCGUGACAUAUCCAACUAAUGACAUGUCACAAAGCUCAAAUCAUCUCAAACUGGUUAAAACAAGCUUUAAAAAAUGUGUCAUUUUAAAGUGUUCUCCACAAGAAUGUACAAAAGAGUUGUUUAAUAAAUGAUAAAGACUUAUCCAGUGGUUAUAAAAUAGAGCAACAUUUGCAUAAUAACAACAGAUUCCAAUGAAAUCAAUAACACUGCUGACUGAAAUGUUAGAUGUGCACUUGAAGCCAUUUAUAAAUCGUAACUCUUUGAUCGGCUCCUCACCACAAAAAAGCACAAGCAUACAUUUUGGGGCAUUUAACUGUAUCUUUAACCUUAUGGCAAAUCACACUAUACAAAUUAAUUAAGCAAUAAACAAUUAAAUGACAGAAAAGUUUGUUUUCCAUUUUCUGAAAGGGGAGUUUCACUGGUCUGACUCAAUUAAGAGAAAAGUGGGCGGUAUGUCGCCUACAAUGUAAAAUGUGUUGAAACUCUGGUAAAUACUGAAGCACAUGCUUUUUGUUUUUGAUGUAAGUUACCCAAAGUCAUGGGCCCAGGUUUGGAAAUUCCUUCACACUGUCAUCUAUCCCAGGAAUAGAUGGAUCCCAGGAAAUGAGUCAAAUAUGAUCAAAUUAACGAGGGCUCAUUUAGCUAUGAUGGAAGUGUAAAAUGUUGCAUAAAAUGAUCUGAGUACUUAAAAA